UCAUUAUUGUAAACAAUGGGGGNGCAAGGGCUGUCGCUGACCUUCAAAGGUUGUGCACGCCUGAGCACCCUCACACAUCCAUCUCACCCCUUUGUGCAUCACCGCGUGUGUCUCCUUUUCGCAAAGGAGCUCACGUUUUCACACAAAACUUGAUACAGUGUAGAAUGUUAUCUUUGCGGUCACACGCAAUCAAUACAACUUUCAACAACGGAUCUCUUGGCUCUCGCAUCGAUGAAGAACGCAGCGAAAUGCGAUACGUAAUGUGAAUUGCAGAAUUCAGUGAAUCAUCGAAUCUUUGAACGCACCUUGCGCCCCUUGGCAUUCCGAGGGGCACACCCGUUUGAGUGUCGUGAAACCCUCAAAAAUCCUUUUUGGACUUACUGAAAAGGAUUUUUGGACUUGGAGGUUUAAUGCUUGCCUUUCACCUUUGAAAGCAAGCUCCUCUCAAAUGAAUUAGUGGGGUCUGCUUUGCUUGAUCCUUGACGUGAUAAGAUGUUUCUACGUUUUGGAUUUUGGCACUGUUCCUUGGAUGCCUGCUUCUAACUGUCUCAUGGACAAUGGAUGGUGCUC
rnacentral:rRNA from 1 species